rnacentral:lncRNA from 1 species
UGUAUGUUGAUGCAUGUGAGAGACGAUUUAUAUGAUAAAUAAGCCGGUGAGAUCAGAAAAUUGCAAUUCCCUCAAAUUAAAUAUUAAGUUUAUGCUUUCCAAGUUUUAACACUCAUCAAAACUAGUAUCGGAUAAUGUAGGUUUCUCCUACGCGAGGUGCAUGUUCUAUAUUAGUAAGGUGCGAUGGGAUAAUUGUAAUAUCCAACUGUUAAAACAAUGGGUCAAACUUAACUAAACAAAUUAUAAUAAUAUUAUAUAUGUUUGCUUUCC